UACGUAGGGGGCUAGCGUUGUCCGGAAUCAUUGGGCGUAAAGAGCGUGUAGGCGGUCCGGUAAGUCCGCUGUGAAAGUCGGGGGCUCAACCCUCGAAUGCCGGUGGAUACUGUCGGGCUAGAGUGCGGAAGAGGCGAGUGGAAUUCCUGGUGUAGCGGUGGAAUGCGCAGAUAUCAGGAGGAACACCUAUUGCGAAGGCAGCUCGCUGGGACGUUACUGACGCUGAGACGCGAAAGCGUGGGGAGCAAACAGG
rnacentral:rRNA from 1 species